CCUACGGGAGGCUGCAGUGGGGAAUAUUGGGCAAUGGAGGCAACUCUGACCCAGCAACGCCGCGUGAGUGAUGAAGGUCUUCGGAUCGUAAAACUCUGUAAGUGGGGACGAAGAAAGUGACUGUACCCACAGAAUAAGCCUCGGCUAACUACGUGCCAGCAGCCGCGGUAAUACGUAGGAGGCAAGCGUUAUCCGGAAUGACUGGGCGUAAAGGGUGCGUAAGUGGUUUGACAAGUUAGUAGCGUAAUUCCGGGGCUCAACCUGUGGCCUGGAUUUGAAACUGUUUUUCUUGAGUACUGGAGAGGCAGACGGAAUUCCUAGGGUAGCGGUGAAAUGCGUAGAUAUUAGGAGGAACACCAGUGGCGAAGGCGGUCUGCUGGACAGCAACUGACGCUGAGGCGCGAAAGCGUGGGGAGCAAACAGGAUUAGAUACCCUUGUAGUC
rnacentral:rRNA from 1 species